GUUUGAUCCUGGCUCAGGAUGAACGCCGGCGGUGUGCCUAAUACAUGCAAGUCAUACGCACUGGCCCAACUGAUUGAUGGUGCUUGCACCUGAUUGACUAUGGAUCACCAAUGAGUGACGGACGGGUGAGUAACCCGUAUGUAACCUGCCCCGGAGCGGGGGAUAACAUUUGGAAAAAGAUGCUAAUACCGCGUAACAACAGAAGCCACAUGAGCAUUUUGUUUGAGAGAUGGACUUGGCUAUCCACUCUGGGAUGGACCUGCGGUGCAUUAAGCUAGUUGGUAAGGUAACGGCUUACCAAAGGAGAUGAUGCAUAGCCGAGUUGAGAGACUGAUCGGCCACAAUGGAACUGAGACACGGUCCAUACUCAUACGGGAGGCAGCAGUAGGGAAUCUUCCACAAUGGGCGCAAGCCUGAUGGAGCAACACCGCGUGAGUGAAGAAGGGUUUCGGCUCGUAAAGCUCUGUUGUUGGAGAAGAACGUGCGUGAGAGUAACUGUUCACGCAGUGACGGUAUCCAACCAGAAAGUCACGGCUAACUACGUGCCAGCAGCCGCGGUAAUACGUAGGUGGCAAGCGUUAUCCGGAUUUAUUGGGCGUAAAGCGAGCGCAGGCGGUUGCUUAGGUCUGAUGUGAAAGCCUUCGGCUUAACCGAAGAAGUGCAUCGGAAACCGGGCGACUUGAGUGCAGAAGAGGACAGUGGAACUCCAUGUGUAGCGGUGGAAUGCGUAGAUAUAUGGAAGAACACCAGUGGCGAAGGCGGCUGUCUGGUCUGCAACUGACGCUGAGGCUCGAAAGCAUGGGUAGCGAACAGGAUUAGAUACCCUGGUAGUCCAUACCGUAAACGAUGAGUGGCUAAAGUGUUGGGAGGUUUCCGCCUCUCAGUGCUGCAGCUAACGCAUUAAGCACUCCGCCUGGGGAGUACGACCGCAAGGUUGAAACUCAAAGGAAUUGACGGGGGCCCGCACAAGCGGUGGAGCAUGUGGUUUAAUUCGAAGCAACGCGAAGAACCUUACCAGGUCUUGACAUCCAGUGCAAACCUAAGAGAUUAGGUGUUCCCUUCGGGGACGCUGAGACAGGUGGUGCAUGGCUGUCGUCAGCUCGUGUCGUGAGAUGUUGGGUUAAGUCCCGCAACGAGCGCAACCCUUGUCAUUAGUUGCCAUCAUUAAGUUGGGCACUCUAAUGAGACUGCCGGUGACAAACCGGAGGAAGGUGGGGAUGACGUCAAGUCAUCAUGCCCCUUAUGACCUGGGCUACACACGUGCUACAAUGGACGGUACAACGAGAAGCGAACCUGCGAAGGCAAGCGGAUCUCUUAAAGCUGUUCUCAGUUCGGACUGUAGGCUGCAACUCGCCUACACGAAGCUGGAAUCGCUAGUAAUCGCGGAUCAGCACGCCGCGGUGAAUACGUUCCCGGGCCUUGUACUCACCGCCCGUCA
rnacentral:rRNA from 1 species